rnacentral:lncRNA from 1 species
UUAAUUCCAAACCACUGUGCCGCUGUAGCACUCGCGCACACCUCCCUCCUCUUCUUCCUCCUCCUCUUGCUCUCCCCAGCGAGAAGAGGCGAGAAAGAUUUGAGCUUUUUUCUUUUCUUUCUCGCAGACGCGAAAGGUUCGGAUUUUGCGAGGGGGAGGGGCUGCGUGCCCUGAUGUAGAUACAAUAUCGUUUCCUGCACUGUCCCAGUGACCCGCGUCUGUCGCGGAGCUGCGAAAUCGGAGGCUUGUGGACUCGCUGGUUCUUGAUCUGUCUGUUGGAGUUGGAGGAGGAC